CCUACGGGAGGCAGCAGUAGGGAAUCUUCCGCAAUGGACGAAAGUCUGACGGAGCAACGCCGCGUGAACGAUGAAGGCCUUCGGGUCGUAAAGUUCUGUUGUUAGGGAAGAACAAGUGCUAGUUGAAUAAGCUGGCACCUUGACGGUACCUAACCAGAAAGCCACGACUAACUACGUGCCAGCAGCCGCGGUAAUACGUAGGUGGCAAGCGUUGUCCGGAAUUAUUGGGCGUAAAGCGCGCGCAGGCGGUUUCUUAAGUCUGAUGUGAAAGCCCCCGGCUCAACCGGGGAGGGUCAUUGGAAACUGGGAAACUUGAGUGCAGAAGAGGAAAGUGGAAUUCCAAGUGUAGCGGUGAAAUGCGUAGAGAUUUGGAGGAACACCAGUGGCGAAGGCGACUUUCUGGUCUGUAACUGACGCUGAGGCGCGAAAGCGUGGGGAGCAAACAGGAUUAGAUACCCUGGUAGUCCACGCUGUAAACGAUGAGUGCUAAGUGUUAGAGGGUUUCCGCCCUUUAGUGCUGAAGUUAACGCAUUAAGCACUCCGCCUGGGGAUACGGUCGCAAGACUGAAACUCAAAUGAAUUGACGG
rnacentral:rRNA from 1 species